UUUUGAAAAUCGGGAGGGUCCGGAGCGAAGUGUAGCCGCCGCGAUGGCAGCCUUUGCCGUGGAACCCCAGGCAACCACGUUGGGAUCUGAACCAAUGAUGCUGGGGUCGCCCACAUCUCCAAAACCAGGGGUUAAUGCCCAGUUCUUACCUGGAUUUUUAAUGGGGGAUUUACCAGCACCAGUGACUCCACAACCUCGAUCAAUUAGUGGUCCUUCAGUAGGAGUAAUGGAAAUGAGAUCACCUUUAAUUGCAGGUGGGUCACCACCACAACCAGUUGUACCAGCUCAUAAAGAUAAAAGUGGAGCUCCACCAGUUAGAAGUAUAUAUGAUGACAUCUCUAGCCCAGGACCUGGAUCAACACCUUUAACCUCAAGAAGACAGCCAAACAUAUCAGUAAUGCAGAGUCCUCUUGUUGGAGUUAUGACAACUACUCCUGGAACAGGGCAAAGUAUGUUUAGUCCCGCAAACAUUGGCCAACCACGAAAGACAAUGUUAUCUCCUGUGCAGUUGGAUCCUUUUUAUACUCAAGGAGAUUCUCUGGCUUCUGAAGAUCACCUCGAUGACACAUGGGUAACUGUGUUCGGGUUUCCUCAGGCAUCUGCUUCCUAUAUAUUAUUACAAUUUGCACAAUAUGGGAAUAUCUUAAAACAUGUGAUGUCUAAUACCGGAAAUUGGAUGCAUAUUCGUUAUCAAUCUAAACUGCAGGCUCUUGCCGAAACCGGAUUAAUUUAA